rnacentral:rRNA from 1 species
AGUGAACGCUGGCGGUAGGCCUAACACAUGCAAGUCGAAUGGCAGCACAGUAAGAGCUUGCUCUUACGGGUGGUGAGUGGCGGACGGGUGAGGAAUACAUCGGAAUCUACUUUUUCGUGGGGGAUAACGUAGGGAAACUUACGCUAAUACCGCAUACGACCUACGGGUGAAAGCAGGGGAUCUUCGGACCUUGCGCGAUUGAAUGAGCCGAUGUCGGAUUAGCUAGUUGGCGGGGUAAAGGCCCACCAAGGCGACGAUCCGUAGCUGGUCUGAGAGGAUGAUCAGCCACACUGGAACUGAGACACGGUCCAGACUCCUACGGGAGGCAGCAGUGGGGAAUAUUGGACAAUGGGCGCAAGCCUGAUCCAGCCAUACCGCGUGGGUGAAGAAGGCCUUCGGGUUGUAAAGCCCUUUUGUUGGGAAAGAAAAGCAGCAGGUUAAUACCCCGCUGUUCUGACGGUACCCAAAGAAUAAGCACCGGCUAACUUCGUG